rnacentral:lncRNA from 1 species
UUGGGAAUUUCACUAUAAUCUUACAGAUUACAGCCGGUUGUUUUACAAGCUCACAACCCAACUUGUUGUUUUACGAGCGCACAACAAACUCGGUCGGUUUUUCCAGGCUCAUCGACUAGAACCACUCCGAUUGUUUUUCCGGGAUCACAAUCGAACCCUACUCGUUGGUUUUACCCUCGGCUCACCAACAAACCUAACACAGUUGGUUUUCCCUUUGGCUCACCAACAAACCUUACACCGUUGGUUUUUCCUUUGGCUCACCAACAAACCUUAACCCCUUGAUUCAAUCCCGUGAUUGAAUCAAGUUACAAGAUAAUAAAACAAAGUUUAAAACAAAUCAAAGCUUCUUAAGCAAAUGUAACAAUAUAAACAAAUAGAGUAAAGUGAAGUCCUCAAACGAGUUUUGAAGAUGAAGGAGCUCGACUUCUUCUUUACUUGACCCUCUUCUGAUUUGGCACGAAGUAGAGGAUCACCGAGGCAGCACACUGAUGGAGAGGAAGCUUUGGGAUUCACUUGGAAGCUCUUCUUCUCUCUAUUUCUCUUUGGAUGGCCCUUUUUGUGCUUAUGGGAGAUUU